GCUGGGUGUGGUGGCGCAUGCCUAUAAUCUCAGCAACUCAGGAGGCCGAGGCAGGAGGAUUGCAAGUUUGAGACUUGCAACUUAGUGAAACCCUGUCUCAA
rnacentral:sRNA from 1 species